rnacentral:rRNA from 1 species
AUUGAACGCUGGCGGCAGGCCUAACACAUGCAAGUCGAGAGAGCGGCGGAAGGGUGAGUACUGUAUGGGGACUGCCAGAUCGAGGGGGAUAACUACUGGAAACGGUAGCUAAUAACGAAUCCUAUCGGAUAACCCAUAUGGGAUUAGCUAGUAGGUGAGGGAAUGGCUCACCGAGGCGACGACCCCGAGCUGGUCUGAUAGGAUGAUCAGCCACACGGGGACUGAGACAGGGCCCAGACUCCUACGGAGGCAGCAGUGGGGAAUAUUGCACAAUGGGCGCAAGCCUGAUUCAGUCAUGCCGCGUGUAUGAAGAAGUCCCUAGGGUUGUAAAGUACUUUCAGUCGGGAGGCUUUACCGACAGAAGAAGCACCGGCUAACUCCGUGCCAGCAGCCGCGGUAAUAC